UACGUAGGGUGGCAAGCGUUGUCCGGAAUUAUUGGGCGUAAAGAGCUCGUAGGCGGUCUGUCGCGUCUGCUGUGAAACUCAGGGCUUAACCCUGGAGUUUGCAGUGGGUACGGGCAGACUAGAGUGCGGUAGGGGAGACUGGAAUUCCUGGUGUAGCGGUGAAAUGCGCAGAUAUCAGGAGGAACACCGGUGGCGAAGGCGGGUCUCUGGGCCGAU
rnacentral:rRNA from 1 species